AACGAACGCUGGCGGCAUGCCUAACACAUGCAAGUCGAACGGGAUCCUGGUUUCGGCCAGGUGAGAGUGGCGGACGGGUGAGUAACGCGUGGGAACCUGCCCAGUGGUGGGGGAUAACUGCGGGAAACUGCAGCUAAUACCGCAUGAGCCCGAGAGGGGAAAGAUUUAUCGCCAUUGGAGGGGCCCGCGUUCGAUUAGGUAGCUGGUGGGGUAACGGCCUACCAAGCCGACGAUCGAUAGCUGGUCUGAGAGGAUGAUCAGCCACACUGGGACUGAGAUACGGCCCAGACUCCUACGGGAGGCAGCAGUGGGGAAUAUUGGACAAUGGGGGCAACCCUGAUCCAGCAAUGCCGCGUGAGUGAUGAAGGCCUUCGGGUUGUAAAGCUCUUUUGCCAGGGACGAUGAUGACGGUGCCUGGAGAAUAAGCCCCGGCUAACUUCGUGCCAGCAGCCGCCGCAGUAA
rnacentral:rRNA from 1 species